rnacentral:rRNA from 1 species
AAAUGACUCUCGGCAACGGAUAUCUCGGCUCUCGCAUCGAUGAAGAACGUAGCGAAAUGCGAUACUUGGUGUGAAUUGCAGAAUCCCGUGAACCAUCGAGUCUUUGAACGCAAGUUGCGCCCGAAGCCUUUUGGCCGAGGGCACGUCUGCCUGGGCGUCAUGCAU